AUGGAUGAACCAAGCAAAAAUGGCAUUCAAGAAGAUCAUUAUGCAGUUAAUCGUGAUGCUGAUCCCUCACAUGUGAUUGAAGAUCAUCACGAGGUGGCCAGAGAAGCACACCCUUUAUUGGGUACCAGCGUUGAGGAAGAAAGGAGAUUGCUGCCAGUGGCAAACGUCUGUUGGACAUCAACAGCAAUUCGAGUGUUUCCACAUAUGGUGAUUGAAAUUCUAAGAAAGACACUGUCGUGGAACAACCAUCAAAAGCAAAAUGUCAAAAGACCGGAUCUAACGAGAAUAAGAGAACAGGGCAUCGCCUGCAAGGCUUUUCAAGAUGAAUAA
rnacentral:rRNA from 1 species